rnacentral:rRNA from 1 species
GACGAACGCUGGCGGCGUGCCUAAUACAUGCAAGUCGAGCGCAGGAAACUGACGGAACUCUUCGGAGGGAAGGCAGUGGAAUGAGCGGCGGACGGGUGAGUAACACGUAAGGAACCUGCCUCAAGGAUUGGGAUAACUCCGAGAAAUCGGAGCUAAUACCGGAUAGUUCAACGGACCGCAUGGUCCGCUGAUGAAAGGCGCUCCGGCGUCACCUUGAGAUGGCCUUGCGGUGCAUUAGCUAGUUGGUGGGGUAACGGCCCACCAAGGCGACGAUGCAUAGCCGACCUGAGAGGGUGAUCGGCCACACUGGGACUGAGACACGGCCCAGACUCCUACGGGAGGCAGCAGUAGGGAAUCUUCCACAAUGGACGAAAGUCUGAUGGAGCGACGCCGCGUGAGUGAUGAAGGUUUUCGGAUCGUAAAACUCUGUUGUAAGGGAAGAACACGUACGAGAGGGAAUGCUCGUACCUUGACGGUACCUUACGAGAAAGCCACGGCUAACUACGUGCCAGCCGCCGCGGUAAGAC